GACGAACGCUGGCGGCGUGCUUAACACAUGCAAGUCGAACGGAAAGGCCCUGCUUUUGUGGGGUGCUCGAGUGGCGAACAGGUGAGUAACACGUGAGUAACCUGCCCUUGACUUUGGGAUAACUUCAGGAAACUGGGGCUAAUACCGGAUAGGAGCUCCUGCUGCAUGGUGGGGGUUGGAAAGUUUCGGCGGUUGGGGAUGGACUCGCGGCUUAUCAGCUUGUUGGUGGGGUAGUGGCUUACCAAGGCCUUGACGGGUAGCCGGCCUGAGAGGGUGACCGGCCACAUUGGGACUGAGAUACGGCCCAGACUCCUACGGGAGGCAGCAGUGGGGAAUAUUGCACAAUGGGCGGAAGCCUGAUGCAGCAACGCCGCGUGCGGGAUGACGGCCUUCGGGUUGUAAACCGCUUUCGCCUGUGACGAAGCGUGAGUGACGGUAAUGGGUAAAGAAGCACCGGCUAACUACGUGCCAGCAGCCGCGGUGAUACGUAGGGUGCGAGCGUUGUCCGGAUUUAUUGGGCGUAAAGGGCUCGUAGGUGGUUGAUCGCGUCGGAAGUGUAAUCUUGGGGCUUAACCCUGAGCGUGCUUUCGAUACGGGUUGACUUGAGGAAGGUAGGGGAGAAUGGAAUUCCUGGUGGAGCGGUGGAAUGCGCAGAUAUCAGGAGGAACACCAGUGGCGAAGGCGGUUCUCUGGGCCUUUCCUGACGCUGAGGAGCGAAAGCGUGGGGAGCGAACAGGCUUAGAUACCCUGGUAGUCCACGCUGUAAACGGUGGGUACUAGGUGUGGGGUCCAUUCCACGGGUUCCGUGCCGUAGCUAACGCUUUAAGUACCCCGCCUGGGGAGUACGGCCGCAAGGCUAAAACUCAAAGGAAUUGACGGGGCCCCGCACAAGCGGCGGAGCAUGCGGAUUAAUUCGAUGCAACGCGUAGAACCUUACCUGGGUUUGACAUGGAUCGGGAGUGCUCAGAGAUGGGUGUGCCUCUUUUGGGGUCGGUUCACAGGUGGUGCAUGGCUGCCGUCAGCUCGUGUCGUGAGAUGUUGGGUUAAGUCCCGCAACGAGCGCAACCCUUGUUCACUGUUGCCAGCACGUUAUGGUGGGGACUCAGUGGAGACCGCCGGGGUCAACUCGGAGGAAGGUGGGGAUGACGUCAAGUCAUCAUGCCCCUUAUGUCCAGGGCUUCACGCAUGCUACAAUGGCUGGUACAGAGAGUGGCGAGCCUGUGAGGGUGAGCGAAUCUCGGAAAGCCGGUCUCAGUUCGGAUUGGGGUCUGCAACUCGACCUCAUGAAGUCGGAGUCGCUAGUAAUCGCAGAUCAGCAACGCUGCGGUGAAUACGUUCCCGGGGCU
rnacentral:rRNA from 1 species